AUGGCGACGACUCAGAGAGCGACGGUUCCUCACGUCCGCAGCGACUCCGAGUCCGAUGACGAAGGCCGCCGCGCGCCCAACGUCAGCGUCUUCCGCCGGCAGCGGCCGGUGCACAGGUUCCUCGGCGGCCGGAAAGUGGCGGACGUGCUGCUGUGGCGGGACCGGAACCUGUCGGCGGGCAUGCUGGCGGGGGCGACGGCGGUGUGGUUCCUGUUCGACGUGGCCGAGUACAACUUCGUGACGCUGCUCUGCCACGCCGCGCUCCUCGGCAUGCUCCUGCUCUUCCUCUGGUCCGUCACCGCGCCGCUCUUCGACAGGGCGCCGCCGCGCGUUCCGGAGGUGAUCGUGUCGGAGCACGCCUUCAGGGAGACGGCCAUGGCGGUGCACCGCAAGCUGGAGCGCUCCGUGGCCGUGCUCUACGACAUCGCCUGCGGCAAGGACCUCAAGAAGUUCCUCUCGGUGAUUGGAUCUCUGUGGGUGGUGGCGGUGAUCGGGGACAACUGCAGCUUCACGACUCUGGUCUACGUUGGAUUCUUGUGCGCUCUGACGUUGCCGGUGCUGUACGAGAGGUACGGGACGGAGGUGGACCACCUGGUGGCCAAGGGCGGCGAGGACCUCAAGAAGUUCUACAGGAAGGUGGACGCCAACGUGCUGGACAAGAUCCCCAGAGGCCCCGUCAAGAGCAAGAGAGCGCACUUCCACUAG
rnacentral:rRNA from 1 species